rnacentral:rRNA from 1 species
AAAUGAAUAGACGGGGGCCCGCACAAGCAGUGGAGUAUGUGGUUUAAUUCGACGCAACGCGAAAAACCUUACCAGGUCUUGACAUCCGACUAACGAGGCAGAGAUGCGUUAGGUGCCCUUCGGGGAAAGUCGAGACAGGUGGUGCAUGGUUGUCGUCAGCUCGUGUCGUGAGAUGUUGGGUUAAGUCCCGCAACGAGCGCAACCCCUAUUGUUAGUUGCUACGCAAGAGCACUCUAGCAAGACUGCCGUUGACAAAACGGAGGAAGGUGGGGAUGACGUCAAAUCAUCAUGCCCUUUAUGACCUGGGCUACACACGUACUACAAUGGCGACCAAACAACGGGGAGCGAAGGGGUGACCUGGAGCAAAUCCCAAAAAGUCGUCUCAGUUCAGAUUGCAGGCUGCAACUCGCCUGCAUGAAGUCGGAAUUGCUAGUAAUCGCGAAUCAGCAUGUCGCGGUGAAUACGUUCCCGGGCCUUGUACACACCGCCCGU